rnacentral:rRNA from 1 species
AUGUGCACAAGGCCGCCGCUUUGUGUGCGGUGUGGUGGUGAAGGCCACAUCUCGCGGGACUGCGCAAGCCAGCGCCGGCGUCCGCGCAGCUCCUCUCCGGUGGCACCCUGCCGCCCCCGCCGGCUCUCCGUCACCGGUCACCCGAGCUGCCCCCCUCCCCUCCCUUGGCGGCGCCUGCUGCGGCUGCUCGCCCCUCCUCUCCGGCGCGGUUGCCACCUCCGCCGCCGGGACCGCCGCCCGCUGGUGUGGUCCGUCUUGGGGUCUCGUGGAGCCAGGUCGUCCGCGCGGAAUCGGCGUGGAGCGGCGCGGGGCCCGGCUUUUCGGUUCCGUUUGAGCAGGGCGCGUCGCUGGCAGUGCCGGAUGUUGAGGUGGAGCCCCAGGUGGAUUGCGUGUUCCUUGGGAUGGGACCUGAUCUUCAGGCCAUGGAGGUGGAGCUGGAAGGAGCGGUGCUUGUCACUGUGGUGGGUUCUCGUCAGGCCGCCGACCUGGCUUCGGCCGCGGCCGCCAUUGUUGGAGAGCUAG